GGGGCUGUAGCUCAGUGGUACAGUACUCGCCUUACCUGUGUGAGGCACUGGGUUCGAUCCUCAGCACCACA
rnacentral:tRNA from 1 species